AGAAUCAACGCUGGCGGCGUGCCUCAGACAUGCAAGUCGAACGAUUAAAGCUCUCUUCGGAGAGUGUAUAGAGUGGCGCACGGGUGAGUAACACGUAAGUAAUCUACCUUCGAGUGGGGAAUAACCCGGGGAAACCCGAGCUAAUACCGCAUAAUGCAGCGGCAUCGAAUGAUGACAGUUGUUAAAGAUUUAUCGCUUGAAGAGGAGCUUGCGGCAGAUUAGCUAGUUGGUAAGGUAAUGGCUUACCAAGGCUACGAUCUGUAACCGGUCUAAGAGGACGGUCGGUCACACUGACACUGAAUAACGGGUCAGACUCCUACGGGAGGCAGCAGUCGGGAAUUUGGGCAAUGGGCGAAAGCCUGACCCAGCAACGCCGCGUGAAGGAUGAAGUAUUCGGUA
rnacentral:rRNA from 1 species